CUGUAAAUUGUUACUCCGAAAACUACAAUGUUACUUUUUAGAUAGAUAAAAUCCGCCACCUGGUGGACGCUCUGAAAUAAUAAUAAAAAAAACUCGGCCUAGUUUCAUUUCCAAGCAACUGAUGAUUCAUCACGAAACCACAACAAGGUUAAUCAUCUCUUAAUGAUUAUUCAACACUAAUCUGAUGUAUAUUAUAAUGUAUGUUGUAAGUAAUGCCAUUUUCGAAAUUCGAAUAAUCCACAACUGAACGAGUCAUGAAAGGACUAAUAACUAGCCAUUGGGGUUUGUUGUUGUAGCACUGCUAGGCUAAACUAUACAAUUGUUCAAAAUGUGACAGCCCUAACAUCUAAUAUUUGGUCUCACACCCUAGCGAUGAUACAGGACAUUUUGCCGGUGUAUGCAAGAAAAAAAGAAAGACAACCAUAUGAGAUGUGUUUUUCUGAUACAAAUGUACAUCAAGAACAAGUGUGAAUACAACCACGCAUAUUACACUGAGAUCCAAGCUACUUCAUGAGACGGUACCUGAGACUCUCCAAUCUCUG